rnacentral:rRNA from 1 species
CGGACGGGUGAGUAACACGUGGAUAACCUACCUAUAAGACUGGGAUAACUUCGGGAAACCGGAGCUAAUACCGGAUAAUGUUUUGAACCGCAUGGUUCAAAAGUGAAAGACGGUCUUGCUGUCACUUAUAGAUGGAUCCGCGCUGCAUUAGCUAGUUGGUAAGGUAACGGCUUACCAAGGCAACGAUGCAUAGCCGACCUGAGAGGGUGAUCGGCCACACUGGAACUGAGACACGGUCCAG